AAAACUUUCUUGGUCCCGGACAACAGAGCAAACAACUGUGCUGCCAUGGAGAUUUGGAGUCAGUCUGAAGUUAAUCACACUCCUUCUGUGUCUGUCAUCAUCUCAUGGUGACAGACAGGAUGACGGACAGUAUUAUUUUUCAUUGAUUGUUAUUUUCAUUGAUAUCUUCAUUGAUAUACUAAUGCAUCUCAGAAAAUUAGAAUAUUGUGUAAAAGUGCAAUAUUUCUUGCCAGUCACCUCAGAACACGAAACUCAUAUUAGAAUAAUCACAUGGUUGUUACUCAGCUUGCAGUGUCUUCCAAGAGUUUGUUUCUUGUAAUUUUGAUUAUUAUGAUAUACAGAUAAUGAAAAGUGUUUCAGAAAAGUAGAAUACUGUGAAAAAGGUCAUUAAUGGAAACUCAUGGUGUCACACCUUGAAGUUGCAAGAAAUAUUACACUUUUGCACAAUAUUAAUUUUUUUUUUGAUGUACUACUUCUGGUUUUCCUAUUUUUUUUCUGUAAUGUUCCCGUUUCAUCAAGAUUUCCUUUGCUCCUGUUGGGAACCGGUGUUUGGCUCUUUGUGGGGAUUUUCUGUUGUCUGCUGCUUCCCUCUUCAUCCACUAGAUGGUGCCUAGAAGCUGCUCUACCUGGAGGGCGUGCCUGCUGACUGGCAUAAGCACACCUGUGAUUACCGGUGUUUCCUCGUGACGCCUUGGAUUUUUACCCACUGGUUGUCCGAGUCCCUUUUCACCUCCGCAGAAAAAUCAAUUACAGUUCCUGGACUCUCAGCUGGCAGUCAGAUCGUUCCUCGACUCUCUUCAUCAUCUGAACUUACCUGUCCGCCCUCCACCGCAUCCUCCUCCAUCAACCACCAAGACACUGUCUGUCAGAACCUCUCACCAGAACCUGGAUCAUU